rnacentral:rRNA from 1 species
UAGGGAAUCUUCCGCAAUGGACGAAAGUCUGACGGAGCAACGCCGCGUGAGUGAAGAAGGAUUUCGGUUCGUAAAACUCUGUUGUUAGGGAAGAAAAAAUGUAUAGUAACUAUAUACAAAAGAGACGGUACCUAACCAGAAAGCCACGGCUAACUACGUGCCAGCAGCCGCGGUAAUACGUAGGUGGCAAGCGUUGUCCGGAAUCACUGGGCGUAAAGGGUUCGCAGGCGGAAAUGCAAGUCAGGUGUAAAAGGCAGUAGCUUAACUACUGUAAGCAUUUGAAACUGCAUAUCUUGAGAAGAGUAGAGGUAAGUGGAAUUUUUAGUGUAGCGGUGAAAUGCGUAGAUAUUAAAAAGAAUACCGGUGGCGAAGGCGACUUACUGGGCUCAUUCUGACGCUGAGGAACGAAAGCGUGGGUAGCAAACAGG